UGUGGGAGCGGGCUUGCUCGCGAAGACGUCGUGUCAGUCAGAGCAUGUGCUGCCUGACCCACCGCUUUCGCGAGCAAGCCCGCUCCCACA
rnacentral:antisense_RNA from 1 species